rnacentral:rRNA from 1 species
CAAUAGCGUAUAUUAAAGUUGUUGCAGUUAAAAAGCUCGUAGUUGGAUUUCGGGGCAGCCUGGCUGGUCCGCCGCAAGGCGAGUACUGGUCAGCCGCCCUUCCUCUCGAAAGCCCCGACUGCUCUUUAUUGCAGUGGUCGGGUAGUUCGGGACGUUUACUUUGAAAAAAUUAGAGUGUUCAAGGCAGGCCUACGCCUGAAUACAUUAGCAUGGAAUAAUGGAAGAGGACCUCGGUCCUAUUUUGUUGGUUUCCAGGACCGAAGUAAUGAUUAAGAGGGACAGUUGGGGGCAUUCGUAUUUAAUCGUCAGAGGUGAAAUUCUCGGAUUUAUGAAAGACGAACAACUGCGAAAGCAUUUGCCAAGGAUGUUUUCAUUAA